rnacentral:rRNA from 1 species
GAUGAACGCUAGCGGGAGGCCUAAUACAUGCAAGUCGAGCGGUAGAGUGACUUCGGUUGCUUGAGAGCGGCGCACGGGUGAGUAACGCGUACAUGACCUACCUUUAAGACUGGGAUAGCCCUGGGAAACUGGGAUUAAUACCGGAUGUGAUAAUACGUAUAGAGAUGUAUUAUUAAAGUUGAGGCGCUUAGAGAUGGAUGUGCGUCUGAUUAGCUAGUUGGUAGGGUAACGGCCUACCAAGGCUACGAUCGAGUAGGGGGCGUGAGAGCGUGGCCCCCCACACGGGUACUGAGACACGGACCCGACUCCUACGGGAGGCAGCAGUAAGGAAUAUCGGUCAAUGGACGGAAGUCUGAACCAGCCAUCCCGCGUGCAGGAUGACUGCCCUAUGGGUUGUAAACUGCUUUUAGCAGAGACGAAACGCCUUCAUUUAUGAGGGUCUGACGGUAUCUGCAGAAUAAGC